AUUGCCCUAGUAACGGCGAGUGAAGCGGCAACAGCUCAAAUUUGAAAUCUGGCUCUCGGGCCCGAGUUGUAAUUUGUAGAGGAUGCUUUUGGUGAGGUGCCUUCCGAGUUCCCUGGAACGGGACGCCAUAGAGGGUGAGAGCCCCGUCUGGUUGGACACCGAUCCUCUGUAAAGCUCCUUCGACGAGUCGAGUAGUUUGGGAAUGCUGCUCUAAAUGGGAGGUAUAUGUCUUCUAAAGCUAAAUAUUGGCCAGAGACCGAUAGCGCACAAGUAGAGUGAUCGAAAGAUGAAAAGCACUUUGAAAAGAGAGUUAAAAAGUACGUGAAAUUGUUGAAAGGGAAGCGCUUGUGACCAGACUUGGGCUUGGUUGAUCAUCCAGGGUUCUCCCUGGUGCACUCUUCCAGCCCAGGCCAGCAUCAGUUUGCUUCGGGGGAUAAAGGCGUCGGGAAUGUGGCACCCUCCGGGGUGUGUUAUAGCCCGUCGUGUAAUACCCUGGGGCAGACUGAGGUUCGCGCAUCUGCAAGGAUGCUGGCGUAAUGGUCAUCAGCGACCCGUCUUGAAACACGGACCAAGGAGUCGUCUUCGUAUGCGAGUGUUCGGGUGUCAAACCCCUACGCGUAAUGAAAGUGAACGCAGGUGAGAGCUUCGGCGCAUCAUCGACCGAUCCUGAUGUUCUCGGAUGGAUUUGAGUAAGAGCAUACGGGGCCGGACCCGAAAGAAGGUGAACUAUGCCUGUAUAGGGUGAAGCCAGAGGAAACUCUGGUGGAGGCUCGCAGCGGUUCUGACGUGCAAAUCGAUCGUCAAAUAUGGGCAUGGGGGCGAAAGACUAAU
rnacentral:rRNA from 1 species